rnacentral:rRNA from 1 species
UACGUAGGGUGCAAGCGUUGUUCGGAUUCAUUGGGCGUAAAGGGCGCGUAGGCGGCCAGCACAAGUCAGUUGUGAAAUCUCCGGGCUUAACUCGGAAAGGUCAACUGAUACUGUGCGGCUAGAGUGCAGAAGGGGCAACUGGAAUUCUCGGUGUAGCGGUGAAAUGCGUAGAUAUCGAGAGGAACACCUGCGGCGAAGGCGGGUUGCUGGGCUGACACUGACGCUGAUGCGCGAAAGCCAGGGGAGCGAACGGG